UUUUUGUUAAUGUGUUGUUUGAACUCAAUCGUUAGACUUGGUCGGUGGUGCCUCAAGUGGUUCACCAUAAAAAAGGGCGAAGUUGUAAAAUAGGGACACAGUUGGCAGUUGUGGAUGUUUUUCCAUGGAUAGUCUAAGGGUGACAUUUCGGCCCCCUAAAACAGUUUUAUCACACUAAGAAAGAAUAUUUUGUUACCCCAACCUCGAAAACCACAUUCAACCUAACCUCAAUUCAAAAUCCCAUAGACAUUGUUUCCGCUUGAGACGUCUUUUAAUUUUUGAACAGAUAAAACACCAGAAGUUUAAAUAUUCAAAAUUUUAUUGAAAUAAAUUAACCUACAGAUGCA